rfam:Stegodyphus mimosarum contig47164, whole genome shotgun sequence.
GCCUUCGUGGUGUAGUGGUCAGCAUGCUCGACGCGUAACCAAGGGGUCCGUGGUUCGAUUCCCGGCGAAGGCG